AAGUGGCAGACGGGUGAGUAACGCGUGGAAACCUGCCCUGUGGUAGGGAAUAACCGCGGGAAACUGCGGCUAAUACCCUAUGUGUCCUGAGGGACAAAGAUUUAUCGCCAUAGGAGGGGCCCGCGUCGGAUUAGGUAGUUGGUGGGGUAACGGCCUACCAAGCCAUCGAUCCGUAGCUGGUCUGAGAGGAUGAUCAGCCACACUGGGACUGAGAUACGGCCCAGACUCCUACGGGAGGCAGCAGUGGGGAAUAUUGGACAAUGGGGGCAACCCUGAUCCAGCAAUGCCGCGUGGAUGAUGAAGGCCUUCGGGUUGUAAAGUCCUUUCGGCGGGGAAGAUGAUGACGGUACCCGCAGAAGAAGCCCCGGCUAACUUCGUGCCAGCAGCCGCGGUAAUACGAAGGGGGCUAGCGUUGUUCGGAAUUACUGGGCGUAAAGGGCGCGUAGGCUGUGCUGUAAGUCAGGCGUGAAAGGCCCGGGCUCAACCUGGGAACUGCGCAUGA
rnacentral:rRNA from 1 species